CCCUUAGAUGUUCUGGGCCGCACGCGCGCUACACUGACGAAUGCAACGAGCUUAUAACCUUGGCCGAAAGGUCUGGGUAAUCUCCAAAUUUCGUCGUGAUGGGGAUAGGUUAUUGCAAUUAUUAAUCUUCAACGAGGAAUGCCUAGUAAGCGCAAGUCAUCAGCUUGCGUUGAUUACGUCCCUGCCCUUUGUACACACCGCCCGUCGCUCCUACCGAUUGAAUGGUCCGGUGAAGCGUUCGGACCGUGGCCUUUGGACGGUUCGCCGUCUGUUGGCUGCGGGAAGUUCGUUAAACCUUAUCAUUUAGAGGAAGGAGAAGUCGUAACA
rnacentral:rRNA from 1 species